rnacentral:rRNA from 1 species
GAUGAACGCUGGCGGCGUGCCUAAUACAUGCAAGUCGAGCGAACAGAUGAGGAGCUUGCUCCUCUGACGUUAGCGGCGGACGGGUGAGUAACACGUGGAUAACCUACCUAUAAGACUGGGAUAACUUCGGGAAACCGGAGCUAAUACCGGAUAAUAUAUUGAACCGCAUGGUUCAAUAGUGAAAGACGGUUUUGCUGUCACUUAUAGAUGGAUCCGCGCCGCAUUAGCUAGUUGGUAAGGUAACGGCUUACCAAGGCAACGAUGCGUAGCCGACCUGAGAGGGUGAUCGGCCACACUGGAACUGAGACACGGUCCAGACUCCUACGGGAGGCAGCAGUAGGGAAUCUUCCGCAAUGGGCGAAAGCCUGACGGAGCAACGCCGCGUGAGUGAUGAAGGUCUUCGGAUCGUAAAACUCUGUUAUUAGGGAAGAACAAAUGUGUAAGUACCUAUGCACGUCUUGACGGUACCUAAUCAGAAAGCCACGGCUAACUACGUG